GAAUGAAUCAAAAUGUAGUUUUGAUCUAUUAUUGUGGAGAGAAAAAGAAAGUGGGGAUAAUUAGGGCCAUGCUGUCAGAGAGCCAAAAGUAGGUAACAUUUGCUUUCAGGGGGUGUCCUAUUGUGCUUUUGGUUUUGCUAGCACAUGCAGUUGUUGUACGUAUUUUGAUUUUUUUCUUACAUCUUUUUAUUCUAGAUCUACAAAGACUGGCUAAAAACAAGGCAGUUGGUUUUCUUUGCUAGAAUGAUUGAUAUACUUUUAUGAUUAGUACUAGAGUUGAUCAACAUUUCUUAUGGUGGUUGGCUGUACAUUAUUUCUUUGGAUUGCUGGAGAGAGACAAAUAAAGCAAAAGUAGGUGGAGAAUCUUAAUCAUAGAAAAAGACAGUCAAAAAUGUUCAUGUACAUUUGGCACAGAUAGGUGUUUGCAUUUUUUUUAACCUCUGAACGGGAAUUUGCAUAUCCAAUUCAUUAGAGUUAUGCAGACCAUAUGAUCAUUAUAUUUAGAUGAACUGUUAGUUCUGCUCAUGUCAACUUUUCUUCCAUAAUUGAUGAUUGUAAUUGAGAUAGAUAAGUGAGGCUACAGGUUUCUGUUCAUUACCUAUGGCAUGAGAUACACAUGAAUGUUUAGGCUUGUCUUUUGGGAAGGAGGAGCCAGUAUUGCUAAUGAAGUCUAGCGACAGGGUCGUAAAGCUGAGAAGCCAACUGAAAAGAAGAUUUUUGUGAAGCCUAAUAGCCAACCAGUUGGAUCUUGAAGAAUUUAAGAAAGGAAAAAACAAGCAUGACCCUGAUCCUCUUUGUAUAGAUUUUGUACAUAAAAAACUCUCUUGUUUUUUUUUUUUUUUUUGCUUUCAGUUUCUAAUAGAUGACUGUUAUCAUUUUUGUAGCAGACUUGGUGAUCACAUGUAUUUCGAAUUUGAGAUAAAUGAAAGUUUGAGAGCAAUCCUGAUUCA